rnacentral:rRNA from 1 species
GAGUUUGAUCAUGGCUCAGAAUCAACGCUGGCGGCGUGCCUAACACAUGCAAGUCGAACGAGAAAGGGUAGCAAUACCUGAGUAAAGUGGCGCACGGGUGAGUAACACGUGACUAACCUACCCUGGAGUGGGGGAUAACCGAGGGAAACCUCAGCUAAUACCGCAUAACACCUACGGGUCAAAGGAGCAAUUCGCUUCAGGAGGGGGUCGCGGCCGAUUAGUUAGUUGGCGGGGUAAUGGCCCACCAAGACUGUGAUCGGUAUCCGGCCUGAGAGGGCGCACGGACACACUGGAACUGAAACACGGUCCAGACUCCUACGGGAGGCAGCAGUGGGGAAUUUUGCGCAAUGGGGGAAACCCUGACGCAGCAACGCCGCGUGGAGGAUGAAGUACUUCGGUACGUAAACUCCUUUCGAUCGGGACGAUAAUGACGGUACCGAGAGAAGAAGCCCCGGCUAACUUCGUGCCAGCAGCCGCGGUAAUACG